rnacentral:rRNA from 1 species
UACGAAGGGAGCUAGCGUUGUUCGGAAUUACUGGGCAUAAAGGGCGCGUAGGCGGCUCUGUAAGUCAGAUGUGAAAUCCCCGGGCUUAACCUGGGAACUGCAUUUGAUACUGCAAGGCUAGAGAUUGAGAGAGGUAAGUGGAAUUAUGAGUGUAGAGGUGAAAUUCGUAGAUAUUCAUAAGAACAUCAGUGGCGAAGGCGGCUUACUGGCUCAAUACUGACGCUAAGGCGCGAAAGCGUGGGGAGCAAACAGG